AGCGAACGCUGGCGGCAGGCUUAACACAUGCAAGUCGAACGGUCCUUCGGGAUAGUGGCGGACGGGUGAGUAACACGUGGGAACGUACCCUUGGGUUCGGAACAACACAGGGAAACUUGUGCUAAUACCGGAUAAGCCCUUCGGGGGAAAGAUUUAUCGCCUUUGGAGCGGCCCGCGUCUGAUUAGCUUGUUGGUGAGGUAAUGGCUCACCAAGGCUACGAUCAGUAGCUGGUCUGAGAGGAUGGCCAGCCACACUGGGACUGAGACACGGCCCAGACUCCUACGGGAGGCAGCAGUGGGGAAUCUUGCGCAAUGGGCGAAAGCCUGACGCAGCCAUGCCGAGUGGAUGAUGAAGGUCUUAGGAUUGUAAAAUCCUUUCACCGGGGACGAUAAUGACGGUACCCGGAGAAGAAGCCCCGGCUAACUUCGUGCCAGCAGCCGCAGUAA
rnacentral:rRNA from 1 species